CUCGGCCGGCUUUGUCUCCCCAGUGCCGAUGUGUGUUUUUUUUUUUACACACCGCACGAGGUACUCGUUUAAGGCCGAGUCGACUUAGGGGAGGGUCCCACGACAUUUCGUCGAAUUUGGCUCGCCGGGUUCCCUAACAGCGUGCUAACCGCUGCACCACCGCUCCCCCGUCAUCCACAUAUAUAUACACAGACACACAGCCGCACACAGUCACACGCAGAAGUCACACGCAGAAGUCACACACGCCCAUUUGGAAGAAGGAGCGACGCAGCCUGGCCUCUGCGAGUAUUGCAUCGCGACCGCGACCUCCAGCAAGCGACGGUGGAGAGAUACAACGCACACGGAGGGCACAAGAUGAAUCCCAGCAAGAGCGCUUCCUCCGGCGUCGGGGCCGACGCCAAAGAGAGCAAGAGCGCCGGACACGAAGGGGUGGAGGUGGAGCACAUGGACGGGGAGCCCGCCGCUAACGGAGGCCCCGAGAAGUUUUUCGGCCUCUCGACGAAGGAGUGGGGCCUGGUGGCCCUGGGGAUCGUGGCGGUCGUCGGACUCGCCGUGUACGUCAAGCGGCGCGACUGAGACCACCACAAUCCUGCCGCUCCCACCCCCUCCUCCCUCCCUCCCUCCCACACCGACCUCCCGAACGAGAUGCAAUCGUCCGGAGACGCGGAGACCGCGCCACGCACGCACGAGACGGCCACGCAUCGUCGUCAGUCGCCGUCACCAUCGUCGCCCCAGUUGUCAACACUUAGCGGAGUAGCUGCGGCAACGUUGCCCUCCACCGAUCGUUAUUGGAGUGCCUCGGCCGGUGCGAAUGGCAAUGGGUUUACACGGAAUGUGUGCGUGCGUGCGGCUCACAAGCAGCGGGAAGGCACGACAGGCUUCGUCCAUAAUAGAGGGGGUUUUUGUGUUGGGUUCGAUCGCGUAAAUAAUAAAUGUGUCGUUAAACCCGCCACCACCCGACACAGCCAAUUAGUAAGGUUUGUCACGUAAACAAACGUGGCAAUUCGUUACUCGUUCAGCACACCGGUUGUGUGUUGGAGAGUUAAACACACGACGACAUUUACAAUUCGAGUAGCGUGACGUUUCGCCGGUAAUUACAACAACAAGCAACUUCUUCUUGGUUCUUUCGGUAAAGUCACGUAGAAGGGAAAUAAUAAAUAAUAAAAAUAAAACAUAAUAAAAUACAAUUCUCACGACGUUUCGGCCACAACGCAAGCAGCCGUCCUCAGGUGAAGAACAGGUCUGUCGGAAAGACAGCGUCUGAAUGAAUUGUAUUAUUUCCCUUCUACGUGACUUUACCGAAAGAACCAAGAAGAUGAAUCCCUGCAGUCACGAAUGCUUUAAAACGAAAUUUAACAAGCAACUUCAUCAGCCAGAAUUGUGCAGAAAUCCUCCUGCUGUUUCAGCUUUAACGACACAUUUAUAUUCGUGCGAUCUAACCCAAAAAAAACCUCUAUCAUGGAAAAUAUUGGUCACGAACGCCUACUGCGCGUUGAGCAGGCAUCAUCACCUUAGUAAAAAUAUCAUUCGUAACACGCACAAUUGAAGGAAUAUAAUUGGCCGUGAUUCGGUGGCACGGAGCCAAAGUUGGUGUCGCUCAGGCGAGAGACCACGGCAUACGAUCGCCACGUCGCGUGUACGACGUUCUCAGCCUUGUCCACACCACCAACUCAAGAGCUGAACGUUUGGCUGCAUUGCUGUGUGUGUGCCUGCACGCACUUACCUGCUCUGUAGUGGGGGUUGUCUUCAUUUACAGAGGGUGUUGGAUCUGAGUAAAGCCUCUUGACGAUUAAUCGAUUAAUUGGUAAAUUUUCAUUGUUAAAACUCAUGAUCCAUGCAUCAAAUGGACCACGUAAGAAUGAGUAGCAGACCAAAAGUAAAGGUAUAAUGAUGCAUCACUUAAUAACAAUCGCGUCUGUAAGAACUGAUGUUUCACAAUUCGUAUACAGUACAGCACUGCUUAUCUUGUUGCUGAUGGGUUUAAUGUGACCCCUGCAGCCACUAUGGGUGCAAUGUAAAAAAAUUAAUUGAUUAUUGAAUCUAAUCAGGACUCUGAUUCGCAACAAUCCAUCACUCAAUUGAACCCCCCUUUUAAAUAAUGAUAUAAAAGGUAUACAUAUCAACAUUUAAUGUAUCAGUCUCAUCAUGUAGCUGUGGGCUGAUAAACUGAUGACACAAUUGUCACAGACAGAAGAACUGCUAUUCAUUUUCAUUGGGUCUCAUCAGCAAGAUGUGGCCUCACAAUCCAGUGCCCCGUGUGUGCGCACGCUGGGGAGAGAGACAUCCCCACACAGCCAAUGUCCACCGCCAAAUAUUCGGCCAAAAUUGCUCUGCUUUAUUUUAUCAUUGCGCAGAAAAGAAUGAUAAAAAAGUGAAGUUGACACGGGGUAUCCCGGCAUACUUCCUGUGUGCAUUCUACACCGGCGAUGUCACGUGACAGAUAGCCCAGCUGUUAAGUCAGAGGUUGACCUCGGUGUCUGAGCAGUAAUCCCCGUCAAAUAGUUACACACGCAUUUAACACACCGCAAAAUAUUGUAAAUUGUCGUAGCUACGAACACUCACUUAACCCAAGUCCACUGUAGACCAAUAAAUGGAAGUGUAUUCUA